AGAGAAACACCAGGGAAUUGCCCCAGUAACGGCGAGUGAAGCGGCAACAGCUCAAAUUUGAAAUCUGGUCCCCAGGGCCCGAGUUGUAAUUUGCAGAGGAUGCUUUUGGUGAGGUGCCUUCCGAGUUCCCUGGAACGGGACGCCAUAGAGGGUGAGAGCCCCGUCUGGUUGGAUACCGAGCCUCUGUAAAGCUCCUUCGACGAGUCGAGUAGUUUGGGAAUGCUGCUCUAAAUGGGAGGUAUAUGUCUUCUAAAGCUAAAUAUUGGCCAGAGACCGAUAGCGCACAAGUAGAGUGAUCGAAAGAUGAAAAGCACUUUGAAAAGAGGGUUAAAUAGUACGUGAAAUUGUUGAAAGGGAAGCACUUAUGACCAGACUUGGCCCCGGUGAAUCAUCCAGCGGUUCCCGCUGGUGCACUUUGCCGGGGUUCAGGCCAGCAUCAGUUCGCUCCGGGGGAUAAAGGCUUUGGGAAUGUGGCUCCCUCGGGAGUGUUAUAGCCCAUUGCGUAAUACCCUGUGGCGGGCUGAGGUUCGCGCUUUAUGCAAGGAUGCUGGCAUAAUGGUCAUCAGUGACCCGUCUUGAAACACGGACCAAGGAGUCGUCUUCGUAUGCGAGUGUUCGGGUGUUAAACCCCUACGCGUAAUGAAAGUGAACGCAGGUGAGAGCCCUCCAGGGCGCAUCAUCGACCGAUCCUGAUGUUCUCGGAUGGAUUUGAGUAAGAGCAUACGGGGCCGGACCCGAAAGAAGGUGAACUAUGCCUGUAUAGGGUGAAGCCAGAGGAAACUCUGGUGGAGGCUCGCAGCGGUUCUGACGUGCAAAUCGAUCGUCAAUAUGGGCAUGGGGGCGAAAGACUAAUCGACC
rnacentral:rRNA from 1 species